GCUCCCUGGUUCUGCUGUACCAGCUCAUCCAGAAGCUACCAACACUGAGAACACUGCUCAGGGUGCAGGUGAGUCUGGCUGAUGUUCCCAGAGAGGAGGAGAGGGAGGGUGGCUGUGUCAGCACAGGCUGUGAGAAGGACCAUGAAUACACAGAUACCAUUAUGUCUUGGAGGAAGGAUGGAGGGAAGGACAUUCCCAGCCUGUGAGUAGUGUCAGUGAGCUGGGGAGUCAGGAUGCUGAGGAUCGUCCUGACCUGAGCAUUGAAGGGGGAGGGUGAGGAGGAAGAGUGGAGUCCAGGCCACGGUGCAGACACCCCAGAGCUCUGCUGAGACAGACACGCUGCAGGUCUUGCAUAUCCUCCUCCACCCCCAGGAGAAAGGGGCCCUUCAUGCAAAUUUGUUCCUCUCCUCUGGACAACCAAACCCCUCCCUGGACCCUGUGUGUCCUUCCAAUGACUGGGUGUCAUUUUUGAGAGGGGUGGGCCCGGGCUGGGCCUGGGCUGAGGCUCCCCAGGACCCAGAGAGGACCCAGCUGCUGGGCCCAGGGAGCACUGAGCAGAGACCAGGGACAGGUGUCUGGUUUCCCAGCUGAGAGACCCCACAGAUGUCUCACAUACUAACUGUGCAUAAAAUAAAAUGUACAAGAGCUGAGAACAGAUAGCGUUCAACCAUGAACUCACUUCCUAGGCUGCUCAGGAAGCCGGGUUUUCUCUUCCUACCUGAUUCCUGACUUGAUGGGCACAUUUGAUGGAGUGUUGAGUGUUUGGGAGGAUGAAUUAGCA